UGACGGAGCAACGCCGCGUGGGGGAAGAAGGUCUUCGGGUUGUAAACCCCUUUUCUCGGGGACGAGGGUGACGGUACCCGAGGAAUAAGCUUCGGUUAACUACGUGCCAGCAGCCGCGGUAAGACGUAGGAGGCGAGCGUUAUCCGGAAUUAUUGGGCGUAAAGGGCGUGUAGGCGGCUUUUUAAGUUUGUGGUGAAAUCUCCCGGCUCAACCGGGAGGGUGCCAUUCAAUACUGGAGGGCUUGAGGGCAGCAGAGGGAGGUGGAAUUCCCGGUGUAGUGGUGAAAUGCGUAGAUAUCGGGAGGAACACCAGUGGCGAAGGCGGCCCCCUGGGCUGUACCUGACGCUGAAGCGCGAAAGCGUGGGGAGCAAACAGGAUUAGAUACCCUGGUAGUCCACGCCGUAAACGAUGGACACUAGGUAUCGGUGGUAUUGACCCCAUCUGUGCCGAAGCUAACGCUUUAAGUAUCCCGCCUGG
rnacentral:rRNA from 2 species